GCAGACUUAGCUCAGUUGGUAGAGUACUUGCAUGACAUGCAAGGUGUCACAGGUUCAAGUCCUGUAGUCUGCACCA
rnacentral:tRNA from 1 species